GGGGAUGACAGGCUUCGACAGGGGAGGCUGUCAGCGAACUGCAGGCCGGAGCGCCUAUCUCCGUAACAUGGGCAAGCCAAUAACUGGCACCAACAACCAAAUGCAGGCGCUCCCUCUCGCCGCGUAAGCGGGGAGAAGGGGUGCUGUAGCCGCCCUCGGGCGGCUAGGCCCCAGGUUGAGCCACUCCGGAGCGCGGCUUGGGGCGAUGACAAAGCCGGAGUGCUCGGUUGCCGAUGCUGAUAGGCAACCGCUAAGAACCAUCGGCUGGCCCGGUUCCAUCCCGCCGGUUGGGUCGGCGCCGGGCGAGAUACAAUAGCCGGAUAAGCCUGUAGCAAGUUCUCUGGCGAAUCCUUUGGACGCGGGUUCGAUUCCCGCCAUCUCCACCU
rnacentral:tmRNA from 1 species